AGUGAACGCUGGCUGUCUUCCUAACACAUGCAAGUCGAACGGCAGCACAGUAAGAGCUUGCUCUUACGGGUGGCGAGUGGCGGACGGGUGAGGAAUACAUCGGAAUCUACUUUUUCGUGGGGGAUAACGUAGGGAAACUUACGCUAAUACCGCAUACGACCUACGGGUGAAAGCAGGGGAUCUUCGGACCUUGCGCGAUUGAAUGAGCCGAUGUCGGAUUAGCUAGUUGGCGGGGUAAAGGCCCACCAAGGCGACGAUCCGUAGCUGGUCUGAGAGGAUGAUCAGCCACACUGGAACUGAGACACGGUCCAGACUCCUACGGGAGGCAGCAGUGGGGAAUAUUGGACAAUGGGCGCAAGCCUGAUCCAGCCAUACCGCGUGGGUGAAGAAGGCCUUCGGGUUGUAAAGCCCUUUUGUUGGGAAAGAAAAGCAGCAGGUUAAUACCCCGCUGUUCUGACGGUACCCAAAGAAUAAGCACCGGCUAACUUCGUG
rnacentral:rRNA from 1 species